rnacentral:rRNA from 1 species
GGUUGAUCCUGCCAGUAGUCAUAUGCUUGUCUCAAAGAUUAAGCCAUGCAUGUCUAAGUAUAAGCAAUUGCAUACAGUGAAACUGCGAAUGGCUCAUUAAAUCAGUUAUAGUUUAUUUGAUAAUACCUUACUACUUGGAUAUCCGUGGUAAUUCUAGAGCUAAUACAUGCGUCAGAUCCCGACUUCUGGAAGGGAUGUAUUUAUUAGAUAAAAAACCAAUGGCCGUCUCGGCCUCCUUUGGUGAUUCAUAAUAACUUUUCGAAUCGUAUGACCUUGCGUCGACGAUGGUUCAU